rnacentral:rRNA from 1 species
UACGUAGGGUGCAAGCGUUGUCCGGAAUUAUUGGGCGUAAAGAGCUCGUAGGCGGUUUGUUGCGUCGGCUGUGAAAUCCCGAGGCUCAACCUCGGGUCUGCAGUCGAUACGAGCAAACUAGAGUGUUGCAGGGGAGACUGGAAUUCCUGGUGUAGCGGUGGAAUGCGCAGAUAUCAGGAGGAACACCGGUGGCGAAGGCGGUUCUCUGGGCAUUUCCUGACGCUGAGGAGCGAAAGUGUGGGGAGCGAACAGG